CGCCAUCUUGGCGGUCAACCUGUCAGCUCGUUCCUACGUGUUCGUACGGAUUCAGUUUGAUUUCGGCGCUACAUUUUCACCGAUUUCAUCCGAAUUAUGGCUGAUUUGCUAUCCAAUGAAGAAAUCUUACCAAAUGCCAGGUCAAACACUCUCAACGGAUGAAUGAUCCUCCCCUCAGACCUUGGGUAGCAAUAGCGAAAGAUGGUCAGAUCCUGUGAUGCCACUGUACCUGCAUGGCUGGAUUGGGUGAAACAUGUUCACAUUCAGCAGCAUCAUCCCUGUUCGCCCUGGAGACAUUAAUACGUAUGAAGACGGCCACUUCAUGCACAUCACUACCUUGUCAGUGGCUGAAACCAUCCGCGUCGCACAUAGAAUAUGCUGAAGGAUGCAAUAUCGAUUUUGCCCGUCCAGCCCAGAAACGAAAGUCAGAAGUUUCAACUCCUGAGGAAAGUGCUGCGAGAAAACUGCUGAAUGUUCCUCCACCAACUGAAGAGCAGAAAGCUGCCUUUUACAAGGCUUUGUCUGAAUGUGGUGGAAGACUAGCAAUUUUGAGCAUUGUCCCUGACUAUGCUGACAACUUUGUGCCAAGGGCAGUGAAGCGAAAGCUUCCUGUACCUCUCUCACAGCUGCACGAUUCUGGCAAUACGAAACUCAGCACAGAUGAACUUGCACUAAAAUGCCGGUCAGAGGUGGGAAAGUUACAUUCCAUUACCAGAGAGCAGAUAUCUGCGGUUGAAGAAGAGUCCAGGGGCCAAGCAACAUCAACAACUUGGUUUCAACAAAGAGCUGGGCGAAUUAGUUCAUCAAGUUCCGCACGCAGAUUUUUACACUCUGCAGUGAGGGAAUCCAUUGCUUCCCCAGUGAUAUCCGUCUGUGUGGCAGUAGUCACCAUGCCUUCUUUUCGAAUCUCAGCGUGCACCACAUCUUCACCAGCGGUCUUAAGUCACCGCAGCGGAAUCCAAAUGUGAAAGACCUCCUGUGCUUGCGGUUGGAAGUCACGUUAUGAAGACGUCACAGCUUGGCUUUGGCCAAUUGAUCCCUCAGCUCCAGACGGGCGAUGGUGGACAAGUGCACCUCAUCUGGUCCGUCAGCAACACGCAGAGUUCUUGCGUAGGAAUACCUGGAAAGGGAGGGGGGGGGGGGGGG